rnacentral:rRNA from 1 species
AUUGCAGUCUGCAACUCGACUGCAUGAAGUCGGAAUCGCUAGUAAUCGCGGAUCAGCAUGCCGCGGUGAAUACGUUCCCGGGCCUUGUACACACCGCCCGUCACACCAUGAGAGUCGGGAACACCCGAAGUCCGUAGCCUAACCGCAAGGAGGGCGCGGCCGAAGGUGGGUUUGGUAAUUGGGGUGAAGUCGUAACAAGGUACC